UUGGGGUUAAUGAGAUUGUAAGGUCUGUCUGCACAAUGCAUUGCAUCAAGCCAUGAAUUAAUAAAAAAUGGGCCCUUGUUUCUCUAUGUUCUACACAAGUGGUACUAGUUGAAACACCGCCUUUUUGGUUGUGACAUAUUCAAGGACCAAAGGAACAUUAUCCAACAGUAAACAUUAAAUGUAUAAUAGAAAAGUAACAUUGCAG
rnacentral:lncRNA from 1 species